rnacentral:rRNA from 1 species
AUUGAACGCUGGCGGCAGGCCUAACACAUGCAAGUCGAGCGGCAGCGGAAAGUAGCUUGCUACUUUGCCGGCGAGCGGCGGACGGGUGAGUAAUGUCUGGGAAACUGCCCGAUGGAGGGGGAUAACUACUGGAAACGGUAGCUAAUACCGCAUGAUGUCGCAAGACCAAAGUGGGGGACCUUCGGGCCUCACGCCAUCGGAUGUGCCCAGAUGGGAUUAGCUAGUAGGUGAGGUAAUGGCUCACCUAGGCGACGAUCCCUAGCUGGUCUGAGAGGAUGACCAGCCACACUGGAACUGAGACACGGUCCAGACUCCUACGGGAGGCAGCAGUGGGGAAUAUUGCACAAUGGGCGCAAGCCCGAUGCAGCCAUGCCGCGUGUGUGAAGAAGGCCUUAGGGUUGUAAAGCACUUUCAGCGAGGAGGAAGGCGUUGUAGUUAAUAGCUGCAACGAUUGACGUUACUCGCAGAAGAAGCACCGGCUAACUCCGUGCCAGCAGCCGCGGUAAUACGGAGGGUGCAAGCGUUAAUCGGAAUUACUGGGCGUAAAGCGCACGCAGGCGGUUUGUUAAGUCAGAUGUGAAAUCCCCGAGCUUAACUUGGGAACUGCAUUUGAAACUGGCAAGCUAGAGUCUUGUAGAGGGGGGUAGAAUUCCAGGUGUAGCGGUGAAAUGCGUAGAGAUCUGGAGGAAUACCGGUGGCGAAGGCGGCCCCCUGG